rnacentral:rRNA from 1 species
GACGAACGCUGGCGGCGUGCUUAACACAUGCAAGUCGAGCGGUAAGGCCCUUUCGGGGGUACACGAGCGGCGAACGGGUGAGUAACACGUGGGUGACCUGCCCUCAGCUCCGGGAUAAGCCUGGGAAACCGGGUCUAAUACCGGAUAUGACUCCAUGACGCAUGUUGUGGGGUGGAAAGCCUUGUGCGGCUGAGGAUGGGCCCGCGGCCUAUCAGCUUGUUGGUGGGGUGAUGGCCACCAAGGCGACGACGGGUAGCCGGCCUGAGAGGGCGACCGGCC